GGUCCUCACGGAGGCUGCAGGAGGGUUGGCGGCACAGUUCUGGGGCAGCGGAGCGCUCAGCGAAGGAUGCCGGGGUCCGUCCCCGUCCUGUCUCUCUGACAGAUUAGGAACGGAGACGCAGAGAGUCCGGUUCAGUUCCUGGUUCUGAGGCACAAAGCAGAUUUUCUGAGGUAGAGAGGACUCCCAUCUGGAAGAUGGCUCAUCUGAAUGGAGACCUCCCAGGCCUCCCAUCAGGAGUGCAGAAGAGAAGAGGACGGAGGCCAAGAAAGCACACACUCUAGGUUUGCAUGGUAGUGGCAAUAUGUGCUCCUCGUGCUCCACAAGCCACCCUUCAAACUGUGACAACCUGAGGUUUGAGACAAGUUUCAGGAGAGACUGAUAACAAACUGUUUGUGGGCUGGCACCAGUCUACAGGCUACACGCUGAAAAGCAGAGGACAGAAUAUACACAAAACAACCGAGAGCCAAGUGAAGCCCAAAGGAGCAAUUCAUGCUGAGCCAGGGAAGUGCCCAGUAACCUUCAGAAGAGCUCACACAUUAGGCCUGAAGCUGAAGGCACUACUCACUCCCUCCUCAGGAAACUGAGAACAACUAGCCCUCCCUUACCCCACUCCUCCUACAGGAAUGACUUGACUCUCCUGGUCACCAGUGGAGAAGGUGAUAAUGAGGCAGGUGGCAAUUUCCCCUCAAGGUCACAGGUCUCCACUGUGUCUGAGGAAGAGGGAUGAGAUUGGGCUACAGAAGUCUGCAAGACCCUGCACAAAGGUGGGACAAAGAAGUGAAAGUGAAGUAGGUCUGGAAGGUAGUGGUGCUUAGGAACCUUAAUUCUUAAAAACCACCACAGACAAUUCUGAUGCACAGCCCGGUUGAAGAUCAUUUUUGAGUGAUUUGAAAGAAAGGUUAUGGCCAUUCUCAGGAAGACGGUAUUUUGGAAGAAGAAACACCAACUCACCUGGAACUUGGUCAUUUCCUCCUCUCAGGACAGAGUUAGGGAAAGAGGAAAAGCCAUGAAAAGCAGUCCACCUCGCA